GCACCAUAUGAUGCAGAAGGAAUUAACAAAACAGAGCAAUUAUCGAGUGACCCAUCCCCUGUCAUCCAGUCCCAGCUUCUGGCAGCCAGAGGCUUAGGGACACCCAGAGCAUGGGGUU